UUGGAGGGCAAGUCUGGUGCCAGCAGCCGCGGUAAUUCCAGCUCCAAUAGCGUAUAUUAAAGUUGUUGCAGUUAAAAAGCUCGUAGUUGAAUUUCGGGGUCAGUAGGUUGGUCAUGCCACUGGUAUGUACUGGUCUCACUGAUUCCUCCUUCCUGAUGAACUGUAAUGCCAUUAAUUUGGUGUUGCAGGGAAUCUGACUGUUACUUUGAAAAAAUUAGAGUGUUUAAAGCAGGCUCACGCUUGAAUACAUUAGCAUGGAAUAAUGAAAUAGGACGUUUGAUUCUAUUUUGUUGGUUUCUAGGAUCGACGUAAUGAUUAAUAGGGAUAGUUGGGGGCAUUAGUAUUCAAUUGUCAGAGGUGAAAUUCUUGGAUUUAUUGAAGACUAACUACUGCGAAAGCAUUUGCCAAGGAUGUUUUCAUUAGUCAAGAACGAAAGUUAGGGGAUCGAAGACGAUCAGAUACCGUCGUAGUCUUAACCAUAAACUAUGCCGACUAGGGAUCGUAUGAUGUUAAUUUUUUAUGACUCAUUCGGCGCCUUACGGGAAACCAAAGUGUUUGGGUUC
rnacentral:rRNA from 1 species